rfam:Streptomyces sp. NRRL F-6602 F6602contig8.1, whole genome shotgun sequence.
CGGACGAGAUCGGGGCAGAUGAAGUGGACGUGGGUGUCGAUGGCACCGGCGGUGAGGAUCUUGCCGUUCCCGGCGAUGAUCUCCGUCUCCGGGCCGAUCACCAGAUCCGGGUGGACACCGUCCAUGGUGUCCGGAUUGCCGGCCUUGCCCAGUGCGACGAUACGGCCGUCGCGGAUGCCGAUGUCGGCCUUGACGAUGCCCCAGUGGUCGAGGACCAGCGCGCCGGUGAUCACGGUGUCGGGGGCACCUUCGGCGCGGGUGGCAAGGGACUGCCCCAUGGACUCGCGG